GAAGCUAAAGGAUUUAUUCACUUCCCGAGGGGCUCGCGGGCCAUCAGCUUGUUGGUGAGGGUAACGGCCCACCAAGGCGACUACGGGUAGCUGGUCUGAGAGGAUGGUCAGCCACACUGGAACUGAGACACGGUCCAGACACCUACGGGUGGCAGCAGUCGAGAAUCAUUCGCAAUGGGGGAAACCCUGACGAUGCGACGCCGCGUGGAGGAUGAAGGCCUUAGGGUUGUAAACUCCUGUCAAGAGGGAAUAAGCAAGUGAAGGUACCUCUAGAGGAAGGGGCGGCUAAUUCCGUGCCAGCAGCCGCGGUAACACGGAAGCCCCGAGCGUUGUUCGGAUUCAUUGGGCGUAAAGGGUGCGUAGGCGGCGCGGAAAGUCCGGCGUGAAAGGCAGGGGCUCAACCUCUGGACUGCGUUGGAUACUUCCGUGCUUGAGGACUGGAGGGGAGACUGGAAUUCACGGUGUAGCAGUGAAAUGCGUAGAUAUCGUGAGGAAGACCGGUGGCGAAGGCGAGUCUCUGGACAGAUCCUGACGCUGAGGCACGAAGGCUGGGGGAGCGAACAGGAUUAGAUACCCUGGUAGUCCCAGCAGUAAACGAUGUGAGCUUGAUGUGGGGGGAUUCGACCCCUUCCGUGUCGAAGCUAACGCGAUAAGCUCACCGCCUGAGGAGUACGGCCGCAAGGCUAAAACUCAAAGAAAUUGACGGGGACCCGCACAAGCGGUGGAGUAUGUGGCUUAAUUCGAUGCAACGCGAAGAACCUUACCUGGCCUUGACAUGCAUUGUGUCGUCGGUGAAAGCCGGCUAGUCCUGGAAACAGGACGCUUUGCACAGGUGCUGCAUGGCUGUCGUCAGCUCGUGUCGUGAGAUGUUGGGUUAAGUCCCGCAACGAGCGCAACCCUUGUGGUCAGUUACUAACCGGCUUAGCCGGAGGACUCUGGUCAGACUGCCCUGUCAAACGGGGAGGAAGGUGGGGACGACGUCAAGUCAGUAUGGCCCUUAUGGCCAGGGCUGCACACGUACUACAAUGCCCGGUACAAUGUGAACCGAAACCGCGAGGUGGAGGAAAUC
rnacentral:rRNA from 1 species